AUUACUUUGCAGGCAUUUUGCUUGAGUAAGAGCUUCUGGAUUGAGCCUGGAAUUAAUGGUUAGUAAACAGCUUUAGGAUUUGGCCUGCCGUUUGUACCUGCUAAAGACUUCUUUAUCCAAAAGUACUAGUGUUUGACUCAACAAAAUAUAAAUCAUGUCCUCUGCUUUCAUUAAUGGAGACAGCACUGUACGUCAGCGCUUUUAUAUAUACAUAUAUAUAUUUAUAAAUAACUACAUGCUUGAAAGUUUUCUGAAAGCCAAAAGAGUAAAUGCCAGGAUGGUGCUGAAAUUUCCAAGGAAAUAAACCAUGGUGCUAAAAGCUGUGCUCUUUUCACCCUCAGCAACAUCCACAGGAUCCUGUGACAAGGGUGACCAUUUGUGAGCCUUUAGGUUCCAGUUCCUCCAUCCUCUGAGGGAAAAUUUGAGUUAAUUAGAGUGCACAGAGAUAAGAAAAGAUCAUUAGUCCCUUAGGAAAUUAACUGGGUACAAGCAAAAGAAGAAAAAAUUGACUGGCAGAGUAGCUAAAAAGCCAUUCAAAUUGAAGUCUUAUGUCUUAAUUUUGAGUGGUAUAUUAGAAAACACCUAUAUACUCAAGGAAGAAAAAUAAUCUUUUUUUCACCUUUCCUUUAGAAAAAGAAUUUAGAAACACUUCAGACUCAAAAGCUUGAUAUGACCCCCCACAUGAAAAGAAAAAGAAAAUCCAGUGGGUUUUGUUGGGUUUUUGGGGUUGUUGCUUUGUUUUGGGUUUUUUUUUUUUUAAUUUUUGGUUUUUUUUUUUUUCCCUCAGGCUACAAGAGCUGGCGAUCUUAUUUGCUGUGUCUUUGGGGAAGAAAAAGAUUUGUUUCAAUAAACAUUUAUUGAAUGAUUCAAUGCAGAGCUGAAACAGCAAGCACAGUGGACUCAGCCUAUCUAGACACGUCCCUACCUUGAUCUACAUCAACUUUAAACACCUGUCAUCCAGAGGUUCUUUCAUCAUAUGAGACCACGGAAAUUCUCCCGAGUCCACACAUCAUACAAGACACUCAAUAAAAAAGACAAGAAAUGCCUCACUGAAGACUGACACACCAAGAAAAACAGAUCUAAGGCAAGUCUUGCAGACCUGCAGAUUAUUCAGCAAGGUGGCGGGACCUUGUCUUGGUUUGGAAACGUAGCACAAGACAGACCUUCAUCCAGCAAAAUUUAGUACCUGUCUAGGCAAAGCCAUCUCACAUGACUGGGAAGAGUGUAUCUCUCAGCUGGACUGGGUAACUUCCUAAUGCUUCUUCAAAACAAUGUAUAGGUGAGAAAUAUGCACGCAUAUAGAAUCACAGAUUGCUUCAAAUGCAGUAAUUCCUGCAGAUUUAUACUGAAGGGCAUCUAAAAAACCACUUUUAUUCAUUGUUCCUGAAAGGAAAUGCCUACUAAGGUUUGUGUGCUACAGUUAAAAGUUUCAAAUUUUUAUCUCCUCAGUACCUAAUAAGACUUGAUUUGCUACAUAUUUAUGUUGUCAACCUUAUGAUUUGUUAACUGUAAAUAUCAUGUUAUUAUUUGUUUUUACAAACAUAUAGAAAUAUAUUGUAACCUUAACUGCACCAGAUCCUGACUCUGAAAUGAUGCCUGAAAAGAUGAAACUGUAGAGUUACCAUAGAGUGGAACUAGUUCAUUAGGUGUCACAAGACGGAAAAAAGAAAGAGAUAAAAUCAUUUGUCCUACUUUCAAUAGCAUGAGAAAAAGCAAGUCCUUUGGCUGUUGCACAUGAUUGGUUUUCUAAUCAGAAUAUGGAACCUCCAUUAUUAUACCUAGGGCACAGUGUGAUGCAGCUCUGUUAGCUCUCAAGCAAAGACCUGCUGUCCAAUAGCCACCCUGAUCAUUACUGCACUAUAUCCUUUCCAGCAGACCUGGAAGGCUAAAAUAGCUAGUUAAAUCUUUGAUGGCAUCAUUACAUUGUUUCCAGAAAUAUUAUUUCAGUCUUUUUCCAUCAAUAACGCAAAAGACAAGAAUAACGCCAUCCAGGCUCUUGCAAUUCAACUAACACUGUACCUUAUCUCCUGCAGUGGCCAAUGGGGUAUGUCCAUGAAAACCUAUCAAGGCAGUAGCAAAAUGCUGCUGCCUUUGUGUACACAUCCAGACGUGUGAUUUGGAAUUCAGAAGCUUCCAGAGCGAAAGUUGGUAGCUUUGUAAAGAGAAGGACAUCCCCACAACAAAUGUCAAAGGCUUCUGCAUGGAAUGCAUUACAAAGAAGUCAGUAAGAAACAGAAACUUUAUUAUUCCUGAAAUAAAUCCAGCAUGUUAAAUUAGGAAACUUAUGCAACUAAUUAUAUCCUACCAGUAUAAACAGUAUCAAAGAGCAGUAUUUUUCUUCUGAACAUCUCAUGCCAUCUCAUUUUCAAAAUGUCAAUUAAGAACAAAAAUAAUACAAAGUCUUUAUGAUAACUGAAGACAAAACCCAGAGUUAAAUUUGCAACAAAUCUGGAAUUCCCCUUUGAUCAUUCUAAGGCAAUGGCUGCACAAUUUUAUCACACCAAACAAGCCAUAAUAAACUGCAACAGCAAUAACAGAAAGAAAUCCUGUGACAUCCGAAGGCAAUGCUUUUGAAAAGUUACAAUAUCACUGCCUUUUAAUGUAAGCACACGUGUUAAAUAUGCACAUGGCUCCAUGUGUAGGUGAUGUGGUGUGGCAUAAAUAUUUUACUAGCAGGAGUUUAAGUUACUGACUCAUUACACCCAAAUGGUAUGAAUGUUCUUUUCUGAUUUUAUAAGUGUUCAUAUUUUAGUGCCCCUGAAUGAUUAAGAACAGAAGAACUGUGGUAUCUGAAAAGAAGGUUUUCAAAAACUUGCAGGAAAGAUAUUAAAUUUUUAUAGGGCUUUCUAUGUAAAGAACUACUGAGGUGCACAAAAAAGGAGUCAAGAAACACGUAAUUUAGGGCUCUAGUCCCCAGCACGUUACUGAAAUCAAAGGCCUUUGCCCAAAAGUAACUUCCCCUAGCUGCAGAAGUUUGCAGAAUAGCUGUCUUUUCUAGAAUCUGGCAGGUUUAUAUUUACAAAUAAACUAACAAAUUGACUUCUGAAUGUAGGUCACAACACUCAUUCCUUAGGUGGCUGGCCUAUUUUUAUCUUAUUUGAAAGGGCAAGAAGGAAAAAGAAGAGCUAACUGGGCAUACUUCUCAGCUCUAAAGUCUUUCUCCCUAUGGGAAUGAUACAUGAAAAUAUCACUUCAGGAAUGAUUUCUUAUUUGUAACAAAUCUUCAAUUCCCUAGUUCUUUUCUAAAUAAAUAAAUAAAUAAACACGCAAAUUUAAACUGCUAGAUCAAAGCUUUUAAACCCAAACUCUGUAACCACCCUUGCAUUACUUCAACCUGCACAUCAGAGUGAGGUUUCAGGAGACCAAUGACCUACUCAAAAGGUCUCACCCCAGAUAGCCAUUCCUGUAACAGAAAUAGUACAGAGCUAUAACGGGCUCCACUGCAGUCAAGAAUAGCUUAGCAGUGGUAGAAGCAGACAUCUCCUCCACGUACUUUGUAACAUCUUUGCAACUCUAAGCUACUUGUCUCAAGACUUCUUUUUCAAAUACUUGUGGCUUUUUUAAUAUGUUUUGAGUUUUAAUUCUGUAAGAAAGUCUGUUUUCCAGGAUGCAACUAUAUUUGAUUGGGUGGCUGGAAAACACUGAGCCUGGAACACCAUAAAUUUUAUCCUAUUAUCUGACUGUGAUUAAAUCAGAAUUAUACAACUGAAAUCAUUUGCAGACUGGCAAUAAGGAUAUCUGUCAAACUGAAAUCCAAUGGAACUUCAAAUGCACCUUAAACACUGUAUCAGUGACAGAACUUUAAGGUAAUAUUAUUACUGGGUGUCUUAUACUAUAGUAAUGUUUCAAGCUCUUUCACACCAAUCUGUUCAGAUAAAAGACAUAAUGUUGGCAUUGCAUUUGCCAAAAUUGCCAUUUGCAAUUAAAAAUUAAAACUGGCACUCUUUCUAUGCAGGCAAUUAUCUAAACGCAGCUGGCAAUCUUCCUUGUUUACAGCGCUGCUGUGUCAUGACUCCACUCCAUUUGGAAAUUUACCACCUUUUUUUUUUUUCUUUCUCUCUCUCUCUUUUUUUUUUUUUUUUUAUGGUUUAAACUUGUCAGCUGUAUUUCCAGCUUGAACUUUUCUGGUUUAAAGACUUCUAUCAUGAGCUCAAACCAAAAGGUUCAAAACUAUCAUUUGCAGAUUUUGUAUGGCAACUUCAGGCACUGUAGUAAAAUGAUUCCUAAUACAUAUUUUGGUGUUUGUCACUACUAAUUUACAUCCAUCUAGGCCACAGGGAAACACCUGUAAGAACCCAGAUAGCAAAAUGUACUAAUUAAAACCAAAAAAAAGAAGAAAAUUUUGGGUGUAAGAGCUGAUUUUCAGAAAUAAUAGGAAGAUCCUCUAAGUGGACAAAAAUCCUUUUACUGAAUAAUAUAUGACAUUACACAUAUUUCUGCUACUUGCCAUCUAUAGAAAUUGUCAUCUACUAAAUGAGUCUAUCCACACAGUAUCUUAGUAAUCAGACCGCCAUGUUUUUGGCACCUUUUUACUUACUACAGCUGCUAUUAAAAUAAGAUUUGAGGGUUCCCCUACUGCUGGGAGAGGAGCAUUCUUCAUGCUGUCAAACAGAUUUCAGGGAACGGGUGUUUUUUUAGCCAAGAUGCUGCAGCCGCUAGCUUGAUUUCCAUGACUAUCAUGGAACGAAUACAGUUACUUACAGCAUACCAGUUAAAUAGUCUGAUUCGUUUAUGAUGUAUUUCCUGGAGUCACAUAUAACAGCACCUUGUAUUAUAUCCCCAAUACAGUAAUGCUUAACUUCCUUCCUCUGUAACUGGUUACAUUUUCUCCCAUAAAUAUGAUCCAUUGUCACGACUCCUUGUCAGACUCUGUUGCAUGUUUUGCUCAGCCGUCCGAAAGGAUUUUGAGUAGGGCCUUUCCCCCGAACAUUACCAAAGCCCAUAAAAGCAGAGGAUUGCUAAUGAGCUGAGGAGCAUGGCUGACCCCAAGGAUACCUGCGAGCAAUGGCAGCCACAGGUGCCCUCGCACAGGUGUCCCGGGCAAGCCUCUUGAAGUUAAAGCAGCACAAGUUUCGCAGCGCGGUGACAGUGCCGCUCGCCACCGAGCGAUGAGACGGAACAUUUAUUUCCGUCACGGGCUUAUGCAAGAUGCGGGCGACAGGAACUGUCACUUGCUAAGAUCAAAAGCUCAGCAGCGACAGGCACCGGCGGAGGAGCCGCCGGCGCGGCGGCCGCUCGCUGCACCCCGCCUCGGGCGGCCCCCGGUGCUGCCGGCCGCAGGUGGCCGCACCCGGGGCGCAGCAUCCCGCGGGGAGCACCCGCACUCCCUGCGAGGCGGGGACCAGGCGCGCCCGGAAAACACUCCGGAGGCAGAACCGAGCGCUGCGGCUCCGCGGCGGUAACUUUUCAAACCGCGCAGCGCUCGGUGUCCACUCGGCAGGACAGGCGCCGCGGGUACGGCUGGCGCACGCCCUGCGCCCGGCCGUGGCGGGGAGGACCCGGCAGCCGCCGGCACCCCUCGCUCCGUCUGACCGGGAGGCGGGCGGUGGCAUCCACGGGAGCGCCGCGCAGUCUCCCCCCGCGCAAGCCGGCUGCCUCGGGCCCGGGAGACCAGCGAGCAUGUGCUCCCUGCCGGUCCUCUCUGCCGGGUGAACCGAGCUUUCCCCCAUCACCUCCCACCUAGGGCUGCGCGGGAUUUCCCGCCGCCCGCGGAGAGCUGCGCCGCAGGUGGCAGCGGCUGCCGCGCCUCCGCUGACUCCUCCCGGGCACUUUGGGCACGGCUGGCGGGGUACCCAUC